UACGUAGGGACCGAGCGUUGUCCGGAUUCAUUGGGCGUAAAGAGCUCGUAGGCGGCUGUUCAAGUCGAACGUGAAAUUUCGGGGCUCAACCCCGAACUUGCAGUGGGUACGGGCAGACUAGAGUGUGGUAGGGGAGACUGGAAUUCCUGGUGUAGCGGUGAAAUGCGCAGAUAUCAGGAGGAACACCGAUGGCGAAGGCAGGUCUCUGGGCCACUACUGACGCUGAGAAGCGAAAGCAUGGGGAGCGAACAGG
rnacentral:rRNA from 1 species